rnacentral:rRNA from 1 species
CCUACGGGGGACAGCAGUGGGGGAUAUUGGACAAUGGGGGAAAGCCUGAUCCAGCGACGCCGCGUGAGGGAAGAAGGAUUUCGGUAUGUAAAGCUCUAUUAGCAGGGAAGAAAGAAAUGACGGUACCUGAGGAAUAAGCGUCGGCUAACUACGUGCCAGCAGCCGCGGUAAUCCGGAGGGGGCAAGCGUACUCAGGAUUUACUGGGUGUAAAGGGGGCGUAGGCGGGAAUGCAAGUCUGGAGUGAAAGGCGGGGGCCCAACCCCCGGACUGCUGUUGAAACUGGCUAUCUGGAGUGCAGGAGAGGCAGGCGGAAUUCGUGGUGUAGCGGUGAAAUGCAUAGAUAUUGGGAGGAACACCGGUGGCGAAGGCAGCCUGCUGGACUGAAACUGACGCUGAGGCUCGAAAGCGUGGGGAGCGAACAGGAUUAGAUACCCGGGUAGUC